rnacentral:rRNA from 1 species
UGCUUACCAUGCAGUCGAGCGGUAAGGCCUUUCGGGGUACACGAGCGGCGAACGGGUGAGUAACACGUGGGUGAUCUGCCCUGCACUUCGGGAUAAGCCUGGGAAACUGGGUCUAAUACCGGAUAUGACCUCCUAUCGCAUGGUGGGUGGUGGAAAGAUUUAUCGGUGCAGGAUGGGCCCGCGGCCUAUCAGCUUGUUGGUGGGGUAAUGGCCUACCAAGGCGACGACGGGUAGCCGACCUGAGAGGGUGACCGGCCACACUGGGACUGAGACACGGCCCAGACUCCUACGGGAGGCAGCAGUGGGGAAUAUUGCACAAUGGGCGAAAGCCUGAUGCAGCGACGCCGCGUGAGGGAUGACGGCCUUCGGGUUGUAAACCUCUUUCAGCAGGGACGAAGCGCAAGUGACGGUACCUGCAGAAGAAGCACCGGCUAACUACGUGCCAGCAGCCGCGGUAAUACGUAGGGUGCAAGCGUUGUCCGGAAUUACUGGGCGUAAAGAGUUCGUAGGCGGUUUGUCGCGUCGUUUGUGAAAACCAGCAGCUCAACUGCUGGCUUGCAGGCGAUACGGGCAGACUUGAGUACUGCAGGGGAGACUGGAAUUCCUGGU